GGAUGGUUGGCAGAGCGGCCGAAUGCACAGGUCUUGAAAACCUGAGCCCUUCACGGGGCCCCGAGUUCGAAUCUCGGACCAUCCG
rnacentral:tRNA from 1 species